UACAGAGGUCCCGAGCGUUGUUCGGAUUCACUGGGCGUAAAGGGUGCGUAGGUGGUUGGGUAAGUUUGAUGUGAAAGCUCAGGGCUUAACCCUGAAAUGGCAUUAAAUACUACUUAACUGGAGGUUUGGAGGGGGGACUGGAAUUCUUGGUGUAGCAGUGAAAUGCGUAGAUAUCAAGAGGAACACCAGUGGCGAAGGCGAGUCCCUGGACAACACCUGACACUGAGGCACGAAAGCUAGGGGAGCAGACAGG
rnacentral:rRNA from 1 species